UACGUAGGGGGCGAGCGUUGUCCGGAUUUACUGGGCGUAAAGCGCGUGUAGGCGGCAGGGCAAGUCGGAUGUGAAAUCCCGUGGCUCAACCACGGAAGUGCACCCGAAACUGCCCAGCUAGAGUCUCGGAGAGGAAGGUGGAAUGCUUGGUGUAGAGGUGAAAUUCGUAGAUAUCAAGCGGAACACCGGUGGCGAAGGCGGCCUUCUGGACGAUGACUGACGCUGAGACGCGAAAGCGUGGGGAGCAAACAGG
rnacentral:rRNA from 1 species